GACGAACGCUGGCGGCGUGCCUAAUACAUGCAAGUCGAACGAGAGCGACCGGUGCUUGCACUGGUCAAUCUAGAGGCGAACGGGUGAGUAACACGUGGGUAACCUGCCCAUCAGAGGGGGAUAACAUCCGGAAACGGAUGCUAAAACCGCAUAGGUCUUCGAGCCGCAUGGCUUGAAGAGGAAAAGAGGCGCAAGCUUCUGCUGAUGGAUGGACCCGCGGUGCAUUAGCUAGUUGGUGAGGUAACGGCUCACCAAGGCCGUGAUGCAUAGCCGACCUGAGAGGGUGAUCGGCCACAUUGGGACUGAGACACGGCCCAAACUCCUACGGGAGGCAGCAGUAGGGAAUCUUCCGCAAUGGACGCAAGUCUGACGGAGCAACGCCGCGUGAGUGAAGAAGGUUUUCGGAUCGUAAAACUCUGUUGUUAGAGAAGAACAAGUGCUAGAGUAACUGUUAGCGCCUUGACGGUAUCUAACCAGAAAGCCACGG
rnacentral:rRNA from 1 species